UGGACCUCGACGCGCGCUACGCACUGGAAACAAAAGCGCGCAGAGACCUCUGUCUGCGGAGGUGAACUCCAGCAAAUACGUUUAGGAGGAAAGUAACAAUUAUUUUACUAACUCGAAUAGUAACAGUGGUAUCCCAUGUUAAAUGGUUAUACUUUCUUACGUUGGUUGUUAUAAUUUGAAGAUUCAAGAAAAGCGUAUAGCAAGCAUAUGGGCCAUACACAUUUGUACAGGGCCAAAUAUUCAGUAAAGGACAACAUUAUUUUUGACCAUCAGAUGACAAGAUACGGUAUCAACUGGACAUAGGCUACAGUAUAAGGUAACGAUCACAAGAGGAAGUAUCACAAGAGGAAGUAUCACAAGAGGAGGUAUCACAAUAGGAUGUGUCAUGAGGAAAUAUCACACAAGGAAUUGUCACAAGGAGAAGUAUCACAAACGGAAGUGUCACAAGAGGAAGUAUCACAAUAAGAAGUGUCAUACAAGGAAGUGUCAUACGAGGAAGUGUCACACAAGGAAGUGUCACGAGGAAGUGGCACAAUAUGAAGUGUCACAAGAGGAAGCAUCGCAAGAGGAAGUAACAC
rnacentral:lncRNA from 1 species